GACGAACGCUGGCGGCGUGCUUAACACAUGCAAGUCGAACGGAAAGGCCCUGCUUUUGUGGGGUGCUCGAGUGGCGAACGGGUGAGUAACACGUGAGUAACCUGCCCUUGACUUUGGGAUAACUUCAGGAAACUGGGGCUAAUACCGGAUAGGAGCUCCUGCUGCAUGGUGGGGGUUGGAAAGUUUCGGCGGUUGGGGAUGGACUCGCGGCUUAUCAGCUUGUUGGUGGGGUAGUGGCUUACCAAGGCUUUGACGGGUAGCCGGCCUGAGAGGGUGACCGGCCACAUUGGGACUGAGAUACGGCCCAGAAUCCUAAGGGAGGCAGCAGUGGGGAAUAUUGCACAAUGGGCGGAAGCCUGAUGCAGCAACGCCGCGUGCGGGAUGACGGCAUUCGGGUUGUAAACCGCUUUCGCAUGUGACGAAGCGUGAGUGACGGUAAUGGGUAAAGAAGCACCGGCUAACUACGUG
rnacentral:rRNA from 1 species